UACGGAGGGUGCGAGCGUUGUCCGGAAUCACUGGGCGUAAAGCGCACGUAGGCGGAUCAGUUAGUCGGGGGUGAAAUCCCGGGGCUCAACCCCGGAACUGCCUUCGAUACUGCUGGUCUGGAGUCCGAGAGAGGUGAGUGGAAUUCCGAGUGUAGAGGUGAAAUUCGUAGAUAUUCGGAGGAACACCAGUGGCGAAGGCGGCUCACUGGCUCGGUACUGACGCUGAGGUGCGAAAGCGUGGGGAGCAAACAGG
rnacentral:rRNA from 1 species